UACUAUGAAAUACCAUGGAAACAAAGCUAUCUUAAAGACGCUAUCUUUAAUUUACAUCGCGCUAUAUUAGCUGGAUUAACGUUCAGAAAGUCAGUGUUUUCAUUUAUUAAAUAAAUCUGAACUUCUGAAUUACUGGACAUAUCUGAGCAAUGCCUCAGAAAGCAGUCAAAGUGGUGGUUGAAAUUUACGUCAGAGCGGUGACCUGUCCUGGAGUGCACCUACCGGCGAAGGAUGACAUUUACCUCAGCGUGUGCCUGAAGAACCAGUACAGAAUGUCACAGUGUCUACCAGCUGUAUUCCCAUUACUAUUUAAGACGAAAAUGACGUUUGACAAGAUAUUCAAGUUUGCCAGUGAUCCUGCAGAUGUUGCUGAAAUGUUGCAAUGUGAAACUGUUAAACUUAAGCUCAUACAGCUGAUUCCCCCGGUUGGGGAAGUGUUGGCCGUAUAUGAGGAUGAUGCUAGAAGUUUUCUUUUCCCAGAGCCUAAGCUGGUGCCUUCUUUUUCUGGGGUAGACUGUAAGGUGCUAAUGACAAGAGACCCCACUUUCCCUGGUAUUUCUCCAAGGUUAGAGUUCUCCACCAGGACAAAAAUCAGCGAGUGCUCUGAGGAGGAUCUUUUCCAGAGUCUCCCUGUGAGAGUAAUAACAAGGAAAAGAGCAAAGUCGUCAAGGCAUCAGGGCUGCUUCUCUGCACCGGGAGAGACGCCGAGGUCCCGUUCCCUCUCCCCGUUCAGGAGCUCAGGUUCAAGCCGGUGUUGUGUGGAACUCUGUUUCCCCAUCGGGAUAGGUCCCCCCCCCCACCCAAACUGAGAAAAAAGCGUGCAUGCACAAAAACCUCGCCCCCGAGAUGCUGUGCUCGUACCACUGAGGUACUAUGGAAAGCCCUAAGGCUCAAAACUAACGUUUUUUAGUGACUUUUGUCUGCAGAAUGUUGUAUUCCAGAAGUGAAAGGCAUAUUUUAUGACUGUCUAGUCAUAUUUUGAAAAUUGGGUACAGAAUUUAUAUUUGUUGCGUUUUUUAUGUCUUUAUUAACACAAACACCUACUGUUAUUUCAAUCAAUAAAUAAUGUUAUAUUUGUGAGAGAGUUUUCAUUUUGAAUAUUGUAGACUUCUGGAAGACAUAUGUGCGCACUCACACAUAACUGAUUUUCUGGGCUAAAUAUUUGACCAUUCUCAAAAGUCACAAUACCUGGACAUACUGAUCAUAUUUUUCUUUUUCCCCCCGAAGUGCAAUUUUUUUUUAGAAAUGCAAUUGUGUGAUUUUACCACAAAAGAGCUCCACUUUAGUUAACUGUUUAGAGUAAACUAAAUCUGAUGGUUUUCUGUCCCAACAAGUACAAAAAAGAAAAAGUAAAAAGAAAUUGAAGAUAAAUACAAUAUCGUACAAGUUUUAGCUAUUAUCUUUGUCUUAACACCACCCCUAUUAUAGCAAAUUUGUCCAUAUAGCAGGGGAGCACAUCCUGACAACUAAGAAUGGUACUGUCAGAUACUCUAUAAUAAGAAAGAAAACUUGUACAUGUAUCAAAUUCAUACUGCUGACUUGUUUACUCACAACAAGUAAGUCCUGGGUAUUUUUUUACCUGCUAUCCCUAAAUUUGUCCAUCAUAGAAGGGGGAACGCAUCCCGACAGCUGUUAAUGGUGCUGCCAGAUACAGUUCAGUAGGAAAGAAAGCUCAUACAUCUGUCAGUUCAUACUGCUCACUCGUUUACUCACAACAUGUAAGUCCUGUGAUUCUUUAGAAGAUUUGUAGAAGUUGUAAUAAAUGCAAAACUAAUUGGCAAAAUGGGCAAUAUUUAACACUAACAAAAAUGGUAAGAAAGCAAUAAAAUGUGGGGAUUAAAUAAAUAUUACACACACAAGGUGAAGUGGAUAACAUUGAUUACCUCAUUACAGUGGCAGCUGAUGGGAUAUAUUAGGUAGCAAGUGUGGGGGGGGGACCUAUCCCGAUGGGGAAACGGAGUUCCACACAACACAGGAACAACUGUGAAACUGUAAAAAGACGUCUCCCUGAUUAUAAAUCCUCAGGUGCAGAUGAUCUCCUUGACAACACAGAGGAGCCAUCCCAGUGUAAACGCUUAUCGGGAUAUGAGGGAUCUCCCAGCUCAGCUGCACUGAGUCGCUCUAAAAUGGCGUGCCCAAAGCUUAAUAGAUGAGGACUUGCUCGAGCUCCACAUGGUGCAGUUGGAAUUGGAGGCCAAGGAGAAACAGAUCUGCGACCUACUCGACAAGCAGGUCCAGUUGCAUGAGCGAAGAACCGUGCUAGAAACAUCUCGUAGCACAUUCCGAGGUAAAGUUUGGUGUUCCACAAGGUUCUGUUUUAGGCCCACUGCUUUUUAUUUUAUAUAUGCUACCUCUGGGUCAAAUAAUUAGUAAACAUGGAGUUAGCUUCCACUAUUAUGCUGAUGAUACACAGCUGCAUGUUUAAGUAAAGCCAGAUGACAAACAGCAGCUUAAUAAAGUUGAGGAAUGUGUAAAGGACAUUAGACACUGGAUGCUUAUUAACUUCCUUUUACUUAGUUCAGACAAUACAGAAAUACUUCUACUAGGACCACAUGCAGCUAGAAGGAAGCUUUCUGAUUACACAGUAACUCUGGAUGGUCUUUCUGUUACAUCAUGUGCAGCAGUAAAAGACCUUGGUGUGAUUAUUGACUCUAGUCUUUCAUUUGCCACUCAUGUAGAUAAUAUUACUAGAAUAGCCUUCUUUCAUCUUAGAAAUAUUGCUAAGUUAAGAAAUAUAAUGUCACUACAUGAUGCUGAAAAAUUAGUUCAUGCUUUCGUCUCCUCUAGGUUGGAUUAUUAUAAUGCCUUACUGUCUGGAUGUUCCAGUAGGAGCAUAAACAAGUUCCAGUUAGUCCAGAAUGCAGCUGCAAGAGUCCUUACUAGAACCAGAAGAUACUACCACAUCACAGCUAUCUUAUCCACACUGCAUUGGCUCCCAGUAAAAUUUCGCAUUGAUUAUAAAAUACUACUACUGACCUAUAAAGCACUGAAUGGUCUCGCACCACAGUACCUGAGGGAACUUUUGGUGUUUUACGAUCUGCCACACCUACUUCGAUCAAAAGGUGCAGUCUAUUUGUUGGUACCUCGAAUAGUGAAGCCUACAACAGGAGAAAUAGCUUUCUCUUACAAAGCCCCACAGUUAUGGAACAGCAUUCCAGUUAGUGUUUGGGACUCAGGCACAGUCUCAGUGUUUAAGUCCAGGCUGAAAACAUAUUUAUUUAAACAAGCUUACCAUGAUUAGACUUUUUUUUUUUUUUAACGCAAAGUACACAGUCUUAUCCAUUACGGGAUAGUAAGCAUACCUAACAAUCUCUCCCUCUCUUUACCUCCCUCUCUCUCUCCCCUUCUGUCGAGCUACAUAUGAUAUUAUGGAGAUGCCAGUGAUCCUGACCGUUUCUGUUCUGCGGACCUGCCUGAUCCAUCCUGAUGCCCUACCUCUGGAUGGAGCUCUCAACAACUGGUGGCUACAUUCCGCCACUGAGGACGAUCCCAAGCAGUACAGCCUGGAGAUUGCUGAGGAUGGUGCCGCUUGAAGUUACAUGGAAAUGGUUUUGCACUCAAUUCCACAUGGACAUUCUUGCUGUGGUUGCUGGAACUACGGUUGCUGCUAUGGCCUUAGGACUGCAAUUACCACAUGCAAUUUUGCACUCAAGUCUCCUUCAGUGAACAGUGGAUUAGUUGAACAAACACACUUCAUAUAAAAUCAUAAUGAACUUCCCUUUACUUUCACACUCUCCGUUGUUACCCAGAUGAGGCCGAGUUCCCUUCUGAGUCUGGUUACUCUCAAGGUUUCUUUUCUUAGGGAGAAAAGAAAUUUCUCCCUAAGAAAUUUUUCAUGCUCAAUAGGGAUAAAUUCACACACUUUAAAUCUGUAUCCUGUGUUUAUAUGUUUCUGUAAAGAUGCUGUGAGACAAUGUCCAUUGUUAAAAGUGCUAUACAAAUAGAAUUUAAUUGAAAUUGAAUUGAAUUGGACUGGAACAUUUGGGUUUCACAUCAAAAGAUGAUGAGAUGAUGGUUCAAAAUUUCAGCUUCAUUUCCUAAUAUUUACAUCUAGAUGUGUUAAAACUUAAAACAUGGCACCUUUUAUUUGAACCCACCCAUUUUUCAAAUUAUCAAAAAUAUUGGAACAUGGGACUGAGCGGUGUUUCUUGUUGCCCAGGUGUGCCUUGUUAAAUUGAUUGUUUAAUCAAUUAAUAGCUCUGAAUGUCUGCUCUUGGUUUGAGUUCUGGGUUUCACCUGUUAAAAUUGCAUUCAGUUGCUGUUAAAAAGUAUAAACCAACAUGUAGACAGGGAACUGUCUAUGGGAGAAAAGCAAGCCAUUUUGAAGCUAAGAAAAGAGGGAAAAUCCAUCCAUCCAUCCAUUUUCCAUACCGCUUACCCUACCACCUACCACAAGGCAGGGAACACCCUGGACGGGAUGCCAACCCAUUGCACACACAUUCACACAUCCAUUUACACAUUAUGAACAAUUUGGAAAUGCUAAUCAACCUAUAACGCAUGUCUUUGGACUGGGGCAGGAAACCGGAGUACCCAAAGGAAACCUCCGAAGCAUGGGAGAACAUGCAAACUUCGCGCACACAGAGCAGAGGCUAACCACUAAGCCAAUGAGCCAAGAGGGAAAAUCAGUCAGAAACAUUGCACAAUCACUGGGAAUAGUCAAUACAACAAUAUUGAAAUGUCCUGAAAAAGAAAGAAUCUGCUGGUGUACUAACAACGAGACAUUGAACAGGUCGGCCAAGGAAAACCACAGCAGUUGAUGACAGAAACAUUGUGAGAGCUGUGAAUAAAAACCCAAAACAACAGUCAGUGACAUCAAGAACAACCUCCACAGGGCAAGGGUGAAGGUAUCAAAAUCCACUCUUUGAAGAAGACUUUGAGAGCAGAAAUAUAGAGGCCAUACCACAAGAUGCAAAUCACUCAUCAGCAGUAAUAAUCAGAAAGCCAGAUUGGAAUUCGCAAAGAAAUAUAGAAAUGAGCUUCAAAAGUUCUGGAACCAAUAUUAACCUCUAUCAAAGUGAUGGAAUGGCCAAAGUGUGGAGUAAGUAAGGAUCUGCUCAGGAAUCAAAACAUACAUGUACAAUGGUGAAACAUGGUGGAGGUAGUGUCAUGGCUUGGGCUUGCAUGGCUGCUUCUGGAACAGGCUCACUAAUUUCUGUCUAAACUCAUAAUGGUAGCAGCAGAGUGAAGUCAGAAGUUUUCAGGAAUAUUUUGUCUGCCAAUUUACAGAGAAAUGUAUCCAAUCUAAUUCGGAGGAACUUCAUCAUACAGCAAGACAGUGACCCAAAACACACUGCUAACACAACAAAGGGAAAAAUCAGAGGGGAAAAGUGAAAGGUUUUAGACUGGCCAAGUCAAUCACCAGAGCUUAACCCAGUUGAGCAUUUCUCCUUCUGAGGUAACUGAAGGGAGAAACACCGGAAAAAAACAAGAACUGAAAGUUUAACUGAAAGUUGCAGUACAAGCCUAGAAAAUCAACACAAAAGAAGAAUGAAAGCAAGGGAUAUGCACCCAAAUAUUUAAUGUCAUUUACGUUAAGACUAUCUGUUCCAAUACUUUUGUUCACCCAACAGUUGGGUGGUCUGCCACCAAAGGUGCCAUAUUCGAACACAACUAAAAUUAAAUAUCAGGAAAUGAACGCUGAAAUUCUAUUACAAAUCAAUUGUCAUCUAUAUUCAUCUUUUGAUUUUAAACCCAAAUGUCUUCAAUAAAAACAAAAGAAUUGGCCUUGGCAUUCCAGUGCUUUUGGAGGGGACUGUAUAAACAGUUAUCCCCUCAUUUGAUCUUGUAAAUAAAAGAAAAGACGCUUUACAGCUGAAUGUUACAACAUUCAGUAGUAAAGAUACAGGAGACUCCUUCAAAAUGAUGAAAUAAUGUCUCCGUUCUGUCUGUCCAUGUGAACUAACUGUUACUAUAAAAAGAAUACUGUAUUAGAAUGAUUGCACUGAUCUAAACAUUUGCCAUACAGCCAUAAAUAUUUUAAUAUUGCAUGUUUUAUUUCAAAAGUUCUUUCCCCAAAUUCAUGCGAAGAAGUUCAGGAGUGAGUGCGCAGUCUCCUCACCUCUCCUCGAGCCAUGCACAGACUGGCCUAUGUGAGUAAUACACAUUUACACACACAUAUGCCAUAAAUGUGGCAUGUUUCAUGUUCUUUCCUCUCUGAUGGCAGGGUGCAACAAAGUCUGAAAGAGACGAGGUGUUAGAACGCAGAUCCAUAUCACAACCCUCGACUUUGUGAGAGCAAGGGUAAAAAUGGCUGUAGAUUUCUAAACACCUUCACAAGAAUGCCUCAACAUUAAAAGGAAUUUUUCAUUAUAGAAUAUGAUAUGAUUGUAUUAUACAGUAUAUAAUAUUAUCAUGAUCAUUUAAUUAAGUCAGUUCAGGAAAGUCUAUCUGAGUGGAAUGUUCAGCUGCUUUUUAAGGUGGACACAAGCCUGUUUUUUCUCUCCUCUUUCUGAAGCACUGAUUUACUGUGAAUUGGAUCACACUUCAUUCAGGGGAUGUGCACUUGUGCAUAUUUGUGUAUACAUUUAUUUAUUCUUAGAUAACAUGUGAGAAUAAGUCAUUAACAUGUGGUGUUCUACUUGUUGUCUGUGACGAUCGAUUAAUUUUCCAGGCAAUAAUAAAAGUACAAAACCAAAAAAGAGGUCACUGAGCUUGAGCUGAUUUCCCAACAUUACAGAACAUGCUUAAAGUAAUAAGAUUUGUCCAGUUAGUAACACUUCACAACUGUGUAAUAAUUGAACUCAAUAUACAAGUGUUCACUGUUUAGUGAUUUGAUUACAGUGACUAAAACAAGCUUUCAAACUGCAUUCUACAGAAUAAGCCCGUGUGUAAAGCAAAAACAGAGAGAGGGAGAGAGAAAGAGCGAGAGAGAGAGAGAAUGAGAGAAAGAAAGUGAGUGAGAGAUGCCUGAUUCUGAGCAAACCACAGGUGUGUCGCCUACAAGGCCAUUAAUAAGCAAUGAUGUGUCAGCUGCAGCUGUCCAUCUCUAUUUAAUGAUACUGCAUCUGAUAGCAUUAUCAUUUUAACUGGAUAUUUAUUAUAAGGAUUGUUCUGGAACAUUCUGAUCUUUUUAAAAAAAAUUUUUAAUAAAGUAAAAUAAUAUCUGACUUUUCCCCAGUUCAUGAUUUUCUAAAUAUACAAGUUAUACAUUUUUAUAAAUCAAUAAAUAAGCUAAUGUAGUAAUCAAGGAA